rnacentral:rRNA from 1 species
UUGGAGGGCAAGUCUGGUGCCAGCAGCCGCGGUAAUUCCAGCUCCAAUAGCGUAUAUUAAAGUUGUUGCAGUUAAAAAGCUCGUAGUUGAAUUUCGGAAUUUUUUUAUCGGUUGAAUCAACAGGUUCGUACUGAUUUUAAGAAUUUCUACCUUCUGGAGAACCUUAAUGUCAUUUAUUUGGUGUUUUGGGAAACCAGGACUGUUACCUUGAAAAAAUUAGAGUGUUUAAAGCAGGCAUUUUUGCUCGAAUACAUUAGCAUGGAAUAAUGAAAUAGGACGGACUGAUUCUAUUUCGUUGGUUUCUAGGAUCACCGUAAUGAUUAAUAGGGAUAGUUGGGGGCAUUAGUAUUCAAUUGUCAGAGGUGAAAUUCUUGGAUUUAUUGAAGACUAACUACUGCGAAAGCAUUUGCCAAGGAUGUUUUCAUUAAUCAAGAACGAAAGUUAGGGGAUCGAAGACGAUCAGAUACCGUCGUAGCCUUAACCAUAAACUAUGCCGACUAGGGAUCGGGCGAUGUUACAUACCAAUAUGACUCGCUCGGCGCCUUACGGGAAAC